GGGCGCUUGGUCUAGGGGUAUGAUUUUCGCUUCGCAUCUUCGCCGGUAUCUCCAGGUGGUGCGCCUUGUGAAAGGUCCGGGGUUCAAUUCCCCGAGUGUCCA